GCGGGGUAGGAGCAGUUUGGUAGCUCGCAAGGCUCAUAACCUUGAGGUCACGGGUUCAAAUCCUGUCUUCGCAA
rnacentral:tRNA from 1 species